rnacentral:rRNA from 1 species
UACGAAGGGGGCGAGCGUUGUUCGGAAUUACUGGGCGUAAAGGGCUCGUAGGCGGCCAACUAAGUCAGACGUGAAAUCCCUCAGCUUAACUGGGGAACUGCGUCUGAUACUGGAUGGCUUGGAUUCGGGAGAGGAAUGCGGAAUUCCAGGUGUAGCGGUGAAAUGCGUAGAUAUCUGGAGGAACACCGGUGGCGAAGGCGGCAUUCUGGACCGACAUUGACGCUGAGGAGCGAAAGCCAGGGGAGCAAACGGG